rnacentral:misc_RNA from 1 species
AAGUCGUAACAAGGUUUCCGUAGGUGAACCUGCGGAAGGAUCAUUAUUGAAUUAAACAUGGUAGAGUUGCUGCUGGCUUUUGUUACAAAGCAUGUGCACAUUCACCAUUAUAUUCACCCCAUGUGCAUCCUUUUAUAGCCCUGGAAUAACUCGAGCCUUUUACAGGUUUUCGGUUUGAGAACUGCUGUGCAAUUUUGCUUGGCUAUUCUUGUGUUUCAGGUCUAUAUAUUACACACUCUACGAAUGUAAUAGAAUGUUCAAAUUAGACCUAUUGUGUCUUUAAACAUAAUACAACUUUCAACAACGGAUCUCUUGGCUCUC